rnacentral:rRNA from 1 species
GCAUUUGCCAAGGAUGUUUUCAUUAAUCAAGNNNNNNNNNNNGAGGUUCGAAGGCGAUCAGAUACCGCCCUAGUUCUAACCAUAAACGAUGCCAACCAGCGAUCCGCCAAAGUUCCUCCGAUGACUCGGCGGGCAGCUUCCGGGAAACCAAAGUUUUUGGGCUCCGGGGGAAGUAUGGUUGCAAAGCUGAAACUUAAAGGAAUUGACGGAAGGGCACCACCAGGAGUGGAGCCUGCGGCUUAAUUCGACUCAACACGGGAAAACUCACCCGGCCCGGACACUGGAAGGAUUGACAGAUUGAGAGCUCUUUCUUGAUUCGGUGGGUGGUGGUGCAUGGCCGUUCUUAGUUGGUGGAGCGAUUUGUCUGGUUAAUUCCGAUAACGAACAAGACUCAAACCUACUAACUAGACGAUCGAUUUGGGCGAGCUGUUUCCUGCCUUCACGGUAGGAGCGGCACUGCCUCCGUUGGUCGAUAACUUCUUAGAGGAACAAGCGGCGCUCAGCCGCACGAGAUUGAGCAAUAACAGGUCUGUGAUGCCCUUAGAUGUCCGGGGCCGCACGCGCGCUACACUGAAGGAAUCAGCGUGUGUCCUUCCCUGGUCCGGCAGGACGGGGUAACCAGCUGAACCUCCUUCGUGGUAGGGAUCGGGGUUUGCAAUUGUUCCCCGUGAACGAGGAAUYCCUAGUAAGCGCGAGUCAUAAGCUCGCGUUGACUACGUCCCUGCCCUUUGUACACACCGCCCGUCGCUACUACCGAUUGAAUGAUUUAGUGAGGUCUUCGGACUGGCAGUCGCUGCGGCCUCUAGGUCGCGGCAACGCGUCGGGAAGAUGACCGAACUUGACCAUUUAGAGGAAGUAUAAGUCGUAACAAGGUUUCCGUAGGUGAACCUGCGGAAGGAUC